rnacentral:lncRNA from 1 species
GUCUCUCUAUCUCUACUCUCUUAAAGGUAUGUGUACACUGUACAGUAAUAGAGAAGUUCAGAUUUGAUUGGCUAAUCGGAUAUAUCAAAUGUAUCUGAUUGAUUAAUGAUCCUGGCUUAAUGGUAUAGCGGUAUUGAAAGCCAAAUCUGAGCCUCCCUGAUGUAAAUGGUGAAUCUUUAGUGGCUUUGGAAAAAAUAUUCUAAUAUAGAAAAGUUGCAAUCCCGGUAAGGGUCAAAAGUCUGAUAUACUCUAACAGGAUUAAAAGUCUGAUAUAAUCUAACAGCCGCGCUGACCAGACUCGCAAUAAGCCUCGCAUAUCCAAUGAAGGUUAUUAUAUCUUGUGAAUUGUUUUCGCUAUUUGCUUGCAACUUUUAUUGUUGGGCGCCAUUUCUUAGAGAAGGCACAGGCAACAUCGAAACCAUUCUGAAGCUUAAACAGUUUCGCCUGUUUUCAGGAGAUCUUUAUGGAUUUUGAAUUCGUCCGGAACAGUGUGAGUUUGGUCUAGUAAGGGCAG